GAAGUAUCCCAAUAGUGACAUGCCCUUUAAAAUAAUAACAAAGAAUAUAAGGAGAUGAAGAGGAAAAUAAAUCAAAAGGUUCACUAAUUCCUCGCUACUGUCUUCCAUUAUUUGAGCAAUUAGGAAAGUGAUGACCUUCUGUGAACCAACCCAACAAAGUUGUUAGGCAAUGAACUCCUAAAGCGACAGACUUCCAGCGAUCUUCUAAUGAACCGUCCACAACCUACUUCAAUUUAAUUUUUGGAUUUUUUUUCCAGGUAUGAUGGAUUUAAAGGAGCUGAUGGGCGUUCACCAUCAGGAAGCGAUGGAAACGGUGGCCAGCCAUCACUGGCGGUGGCCAUAGCGCCUUCCCGUGAUGGUAGACAGAUCUAGGAUUUUUUAGUUUUCGAAAGGCAGAAGUUUGAACUAUUGGUGAUGUUUGUUUUUUCUUUUUCGAACUCCCUGACAGCAACAUUUGUUCUUAAUCUUGUUAGUUAUUAUUUUAAUGUGUCUUUAUUACCCAAACAAAAAAUACUAGUUAUGAUGAGUUAAUACUGCACUAUAUCAAGCUGCCAUUUCAUACUUGAUUA